GGAAUAGCAUGAAUGAAUACAGAUGAGGAUUCUUCUUUUACACAAUAAUAGUGCAACUGCUACUAACUAAUUCUGUUAUUCUAAACUACUCGACUCUUCUAUUGCUUAUUACUAUUUAUCUUCUUUGUCCUAUAUGUGUAACAGGUGCUUAGGAAAAUUAAGCCAUUUUCAAAUCUAGAUUUCAGAAAUUUACUGAAAAGGAACAAACCUACUAGGAAAUCACACAAACAGACACAUGUAUGUCUACUGACUACCACUAGUCACUCUUGGCUGUUACUGGCCACCAGCAACUGCCACUGGUCACUGUUGGCUUUUGUAAUUUUAGCGUAGGUUGUUCUUAUAUUUGAAUAUGGCUACUGGAAAAAGUGCUGAUGUUCCAGUAUAAUUCAUUCCAAUAUCUGCACCACUAAUGCCACUUUCAUGUAAAUUCAAUCCUACUAUCUUUAGCAGCAUGAAACUGCUAUUGCCUUUGUUAUACUGACAAUUUACAACCAUCACCAUUAUGCCACCCUACCACAACAUUGCAUGAAUGUGGGCAAAAUUGUCAAUACUGCAUUGAAACAUAAUAUUUUUUCAUUGGUAUGGAAAUGUUUGCUAGUUGUGAAUUGAUGGUGAGGUCAAUGGCCCUGCAAUUGUUCCACAAUCUUUGAUGAACUUGCAGUAGCGAGCCUAAGGAAUCCACAUAGCUCUCUUACAACACUUGAUAAUGGCCACUCCAUAAUAGCCUAAAUCUUUUUGUUAUCAUCUGCAACUCCUGUGGAAGAUAUAACAUGGGCCAAGUAGUAUAGUUGCUGCUGUCCAAAGAUGAGCUUUGAUUGUUUUAAGUAAAGCGCUGCACUUGAAGCGCAAGGAAAACCAAGCACAUGUGCUGGAGAUGCUCUGUCCAAGAACGACUAAAUCAAAAUAUUGUCAAAAAAUACAAGAACAAAUUUCUUAAGGCAUGGUUGGAAUACCUUGUUCAUGAGUGCUUGGUAGAUGGAGGGGGCAUUUGUUAAUCCAAACGGCAUGACAAGGAAUUCAAAAUGCCCAUAAUGAAUGCAGAAGGCAGUCUUUCCAAUAUCCUGGGGAUACAUCUGAAUCUGAUGGUAUUGUGUCCAAGGGCAAUUAACAGAGAAAUCUGCAAGUGAGGAGCUACUGGGUUGAGGUUUAUUAGUGUUCUGGCCUUUGUUAGUGAGAAAUCUGCAAGGACCAGGUUUAUUGGUGUCCAAGGGCAAACUUUUGUGGAAGAACUAAAAGGGCUUGCUAGAGAGAACCUUUCUCUUGAGUAUUUAGGAGACUUAAUCCUGAAAUGAACUUAGCUGCCCUUUCAUUAAUUUCAACUAGCUUUUAAAUACAA
rnacentral:misc_RNA from 1 species